rnacentral:sRNA from 1 species
GUUCAAAGAUGGGAGAGGCCGGGCGCGGUGGCUCACGCCUGUCAUCCCAGCAAUUUGCGAGGCCGAGGCAGGCGGAUCACUUGAACCCAGGACUCGAAACCAGCCUGGGCAACAUAGUGGGACCCCCAUCUCUACACAAAAAUUUUUAAAAAUUAGCCAGUGAAGAAAUGGAAGAGGAAAAUCGAAUACCCCAACCCCCACCCAUCGCCCACCCGAGAACGUCCCCCCAGCCGGAGUCGGGCAUCAAGCGACUGUUUAGCUUCUUCUCCCGAGAUAAGAAGCGCGUGGCCAACACGCAGAGAAACGUGCACAUCCAGGAGUCCUUUGGACAGUGGGCAAACACCCACCGCGAUGACGGUUACACAGAGCAAGGACAAGAAGCCCUGCAGCACCUGUGACCUUGGCCCACCUCCACCCUCCAACCUGGACUGCCCGCCACCAGCGUCUGCAACCGAACUGCAGCCCAGGGGUCGUUGCUGCCUCAAGCCUCUCGGUGCAGACACACCCUGAAAACUGACCCCUCAAACAGACUGUCUGAUUUGAGGAUGGACAUUGAAAAACUGACGCCAAACUCUAAAGAAAUGUUUAUUUAUACCCAGGGCUAUCACUGUUUCUAAUAGAUGACUCUGAUCCCGUAGGAUAUAUAUUUAAUAAUCCCACGAACGGAGGCCAGACUUCUGCGUUAACUUCAGUAACACAAGCUUCUUUAAGCCAAAUACAUCACUUGCCACUAUCAUUGCUGUUUGACUUGCUUUGUAUAAAAUGCUAU